UACGUAGGGAGCAAGCGUUGUCCGGAAUCAUUGGGCGUAAAGCGCGUGUAGGCGGUCCGGUAAGUCGGCUGUGAAAGUCCAGGGCUCAACCCUGGGAUGCCGGUCGAUACUGCCGGACUAGAGUUCGGAAGAGGCGAGUGGAAUUCCCGGUGUAGCGGUGAAAUGCGCAGAUAUCGGGAGGAACACCAAUGGCGAAGGCAGCUCGCUGGGACGUUACUGACGCUGAGACGCGAAAGCGUGGGGAGCAAACAGG
rnacentral:rRNA from 1 species